rnacentral:rRNA from 1 species
AUUGAACGCUGGCGGCAGGCCUAACACAUGCAAGUCGAGCGGAUGAAGGGAGCUUGCUCCUGGAUUCAGCGGCGGACGGGUGAGUAAUGCCUAGGAAUCUGCCUGGUAGUGUGGGAUAACGUCCGGAAACGGGCGCUAAUACCGCAUACGUCCUGAGGGAGAAAGUGGGGGAUCUUCGGACCUCACGCUAUCAGAUGAGCCUAGGUCGGAUUAGCUAGUUGGUGGGGUAAAGGCCUACCAAGGCGACGAUCCGUAACUGGUCUGAGAGGAUGAUCAGUCACAAUGGAACUGAGACACGGUCCAGACUCCUACGGGAGGCAGCAGUGGGGAAUAUUGGACAAUGGGCGAAAGCCUGAUCCAGCCAUGCCGCGUGUGUGAAGAAGGUCUUCGGAUUGUAAAGCACUUUAAGUUGGGAGGAAGGGCAGUAAGUUAAUAACUUGCUGUUUUGACGUUACCAACAGAAUAAGCACCGGCUAACUUCGUG